GGAACUGAAACAUCUAAGUACCCCGAGGAAAAGAAAUCAACCGAGAUUCCCCCAGUAGCGGCGAGCGAACGGGGAGGAGCCCAGAGCCUGAAUCAGCAUGUGUGUUAGUGGAAGCGUCUGGAAAGGCGCGCGAUACAGGGUGACAGCCCCGUACACAAAAGCGCAUGUGCUGUGAGCUCGAUGAGUAGGGCGGGACACGUGGUAUCCUGUCUGAAUAUGGGGGGACCAUCCUCCAAGGCUAAAUACUCCUGACUGACCGAUAGUGAACCAGUACCGUGAGGGAAAGGCGAAAAGAACCCCGGCGAGGGGAGUGAAAAAGAACCUGAAACCGU
rnacentral:rRNA from 1 species